GAAAUUUUCAUUACCCUUACUGCCACUGUUGUUAGUUCCACACAAAAUUGUCACUGUUAUGGCUAUUGGGUCCGUCAAAAUACACUAGGCAAUGUCAUCUCUGCUCUUUGUUACACUAACAAGGUGGGCCCGUGCCCAUACAACUAGCCGAACCCUUCCUCAGUCCAAAUCGAUCGCCAUCCUCAAUCCAAAUCGAUCCCCUUCUCUCAUCCUCAAAACCCUAGCGUGGAAGCAACGACGGCAGGUCAGGCGGAGGUCGUGGGCGAGGCUCCUACAGGCCACGAGCAGGGGACGGUCGAGGUUCCAGGCUCCAGCCGACCACGCAUGCAGGUUGGCGUGCCCCGUGCCUACGACGCGCAGGUCGGCGUGCCCCCGGCCUGAGCAGCGCACGAGAACAUUUGGAGAAGCUGUGGCUGGAAGAAGAAAGAACGAGAUGUUCAAAGGAGCUGCUGAGAGCAAUGGCAAUACAACACGCAGAAAAGGGCACCAUAGAUACGAUAUUUGCCGAGGAUUUGGACACCAUUGACACACAUGCAAAAACGGUUACCCGACUGAUAUAGCAUAGCAGCAAUGCUAGAUGAGACUGAGAGGGGCCCACCUAAGAAGAAAAAGAAGAAAAGCAGUGAACCAGCUCAAGAAUCAAUAGAGAAUAGUAUUGUAGCUGUUAGCUCAACUUCAGGACCCACACCAAUGUGUUUUCCACCAAGCCAAGGAAGCUCCAAAUUGAGUUCUGGGAGAACUUCUAGGAUGUGACUCCGGUCAUCCUGAACUACUCUCCUUGAGUGCACUUUGCCAUCUUGUGAAACUGCACUACCUGGUACUUCCAAGCAUUUAACAGAAAACCAAAAUGCACGAGGGGAGGCAAAGGCAGUGAAGGAAAAGGCAAAGAAGCAGCAAAACUUGGUGCCACCACAUAGUCCUGCAAUGUGCACCAGAAGCAAAGCUCAUGACAACCCAGCUAUGAGCACUAGAAGCAAAAGAAAAAUUCUUGACUAAAUGUCCAGCUAUGGCUUUUGGGCACUAUUUUGCUUGGUUUUGUAUGAUGUGGUCAAUGUACUGACCUUUGGAUGACCUAUAUGAUACCAAACUGAUCUCAUUUUGCUCUGUACAAAUGGUCCUCAUGUGAUCUGUGUAAGAGCGUUGUGUAAUGAUACUCAAAUUGCUACUCAUUUUACUUGUAUGUGAUAUGUGAUGAGACAAUGGUACUCAUUUGAUCUAUGAUGAAACUCUAAGAAGUGGCAAAUUUAUGUUGAGUCA